ensembl:lncRNA
UAUAUAUAUAUAUAUAUAUAUAUAUAGGUUUUACCCCUGCAGUUUUACAAGUCAAAUGUAAACAUUCAGGUAUAAACAAUAUAAAAUAGUCAAAUAAGACACCAAGUUCUUCAAAAUACCAAUACUAGAAAUAUAAACUAUUCAAAAAGUUAUCAAAAGAAAAAAUUGCACCUGUGCCCUGUAGUACACAUGUGUUGUCCGUCAUUCACCAUCCCACCCAUCAAUUCCAAACAAAGGGAACAACUCACAAUACAUUUCACUACUGAAACAGAGUGAACUCAGUAGUUUACAGAGUAGGAGAUGACAUAACAAACUCCCUUGCAUAGACACAAAAAUGGUAAAUGGACUGCAUUUAUACAGCCCUUUACCCACCAGCAGCCACUCAAAGCGCUUGACAAUUAUGGCCUCACAUUCACCCAUUCAUCCACACAUUCACACACUGACGGUGGUGUCAGCAAAUUAUAAUUUGCUUUCUAAAAUAUAAAAUAGUGACAUUUAAUUGAUUUCCUAAUUUACUUUUGCUUUGCUUAGUCUUUUUUAAGACAAUCCAAGCAAAAGCAAAUGUGUCAUAAAAUGUGUUUUCUAAAAUAUGAGUUAAUUUCAAAUAACGCUAUCUAGGUGCAAUAUUUAGCAUUGUGAUACUUCUUAACCUUAUUUAUACUUGAAAAAAUCAGCUAAAAAAAUAGAGAUUGCGAGAGGGAUUGUCAAUGAAUAUGUUUCAAGUUAUUCAGUCUCAAUGAUUGUCAAAAAUCCACUAUUAGAUAUUUCACUCUAUGUUUUCUAUUUCUAUUGCAGUUAUUUAUUUAGCUGUUUUAACUAAUUGUGACUGAGCGAUGAAACAAUUAUUUAAAAUGUGUUUUUGUGUGUCAGUGUCUUCGUGUGUGUUCGUGUGUGUGUGUGUGUUUGUCUGUGUGAUUGUGUGCGGGUGGUUGUGUGUUUGUGUGUGUGUGUGUGUGUCCUGUCUAAGCUCUGACCUACAUAGUACAGAUAUAUAACGAACAGCUGUGCAAAAUGGUUCCUGAGAACACAGUGUUCCACAUACGCACACACACACACACGCACGCACACACACACACACACACACACACACACACACACACACACAAAUAUAUACAUUUCUCUCUCUCUCUCUCUCUCUCUCUCUCUCUCUCUCACUCUCUUACUCUCUCUCUCUCACACACACACACACACAUACAAACACAAAGACAAACACACACGCACACACACACACACAUACAGACACACACACUCCCCUUGGGUGAGUUUAGUCCCAGAUUAUCUUCAUGAUAGUCCAACUUUCUCUCAGUUUAUGUAGAAAUAGAUUCUGGCAUCCCGCCAGUCCCUCGUGUGUCCCUCAGCGUAUGGCUCCCUCCUCCACACUCAGCCCAAUGUUGUCGCUCAGGGCGCAUCAGAAUCACAGCGCCGUCCGUCGUUGUUACAUUGUUUGCAGCUUCGUUGUUCCGGAAGGAUCCAACCUUUUUUUGUUCCCUCCACUAGCUUUCGGGCUGAGGAGAGAGUCUGGGCCACAUCGUCCUACAACCGAAGGUUGCGUUGCUUCUCUUGGAGUCCACAGAGGAGCCAGCCGCCAGAUGAUGGCUCCUAAACAAAAAGAAAAACAUAAAAAAGUGUGAACCACAAAUUUGUUUUGUAGAGAUGAGACAAAGUUUGAACAAAGGGAACCCUCUGUCACGCUAAAUUAUUGAUUGAAUUCAUGGGCUUAAAUCAUGAGGUUAAUCUUUGAUGUCUUGUAAAGACGAGGACAAAUGGGGGCUCAAUAAUGUACGUGUGUGGAGGGAACUUUUUCUUUCGCCUACGGGCCUCUGUCGUAUAAGAUUAGAUUUGUUUU